GAUGAACGCUAGCGGCAGGCUUAACACAUGCAAGUCGAGGGGUAGAAAUAGCUUGCUAUUUUGAGACCGGCGCACGGGUGCGUAACGCGUAUGCAAUCUGCCUUUUACAGGGGAAUAGCCCAGAGAAAUUUGGAUUAAUGCCCCAUAGCGCUGCAGGGCGGCAUCGCCGAGCAGCUAAAGUCACAACGGUAAAAGAUGAGCAUGCGUCCCAUUAGCUAGUUGGUAAGGUAACGGCUUACCAAGGCGAUGAUGGGUAGGGGUCCUGAGAGGGAGAUCCCCCACACUGGUACUGAGACACGGACCAGACUCCUACGGGAGGCAGCAGUGAGGAAUAUUGGUCAAUGGGCGCAAGCCUGAACCAGCCAUGCCGCGUGCAGGAUGAAGCAUCUAUGGUGUGUAAACUGCUUUUAUACAGGAAGAAACACUCCCUCGUGAGGGAGCUUGACGGUACUGUAGGAAUAAGGAUCGGCUAACUCCGUG
rnacentral:rRNA from 1 species